CCUACGGGAGGCAGCAGUGGGGAAUAUUGCACAAUGGGGGGAACCCUGAUGCAGCAACGCCGCGUGGGUGCAGAAGUACUUCGGUAUGUAAAGCCCUGUCAGCAGGGAAGAAAAUGACGGUACCUGACCAAGAAGCCGCGGCUAACUACGUGCCAGCAGCCGCGGUAAUACGUAGGGGGCAAGCGGUAUCCGGAUUUACUGGGUGAAAAGGGAGCGGAGACGGCAAGGCAAGUCUGGAGAGAAAGCCCGUGGCUCAACCACGGGACUGCUUUGGAAAAUGUGUUGCUGGAGUGCAGGAGGGGUAAGCGGAAUUCCUAGUGUAGCGGUGCAAUGCGUAGAUAUUAGGAGGAACACCGGUGUCGAAGGCGGCUUACUGGACUGUAACUGACGUUGAGGCUCGAAGGCGUGGGGAGCAAACAGGAUUAGAUACCCCAGUAGUC
rnacentral:rRNA from 1 species